CAGAUAUUAGUUUAUAAAAUAUUAAUUUUGGAGAUUAAAGAUAAGAAGAAUUCUUAUAUCUGA
rnacentral:tRNA from 1 species